GGAGAGAUGCCGGAGCGGUCUAACGGAACGGCCUGGAGCGCCGUGCCUCCAAAAGGGGCUCGUGGGUUCGAAUCCCACUCUCUCCGCCA
rnacentral:tRNA from 1 species